rnacentral:rRNA from 1 species
CACGAACGCUGGCGGCAGGCUUAACACAUGCAGGUCGAGCGCCCCGCAAGGGGAGCGGCAGACGGGUGAGUAACGCGUGGGAAUCUACCCAUCUCUACGGAAUAACGCAUGGAAACGUGUGCUAAUACCGUAUACGUCCUUCGGGAGAAAGAUUUAUCGGAGAUGGAUGAGCCCGCGUUGGAUUAGCUAGUUGGUGGGGUAAAGGCCUACCAAGGCGACGAUCCAUAGCUGGUCUGAGAGGAUGAUCAGCCACACUGGGACUGAGACACGGCCCAGACUCCUACGGGAGGAAGCAGUGGGGAAUAUUGGACAAUGGGCGCAAGCCUGAUCCAGCCAUGCCGCGUGAGUGAUGAAGGCCCUAGGGUUGUAAAGCUCUUUCACCGGUGGAGAUAAUGACGGUAACCGGAGAAGAAGCCCCGGCUAACUUCGUGCCAGCCGCCGCGGUAAGAC